GGUGUGAGUGUCUUUAACACCAGUGGAGUCCUGCAUGAUCUGUCAGACCUGUAAUUUCAGCAGGAGUGCUUUCGGCAAGUGAGAUGCAAGAAGCCCUCAGAAAUGACUGACCGCUUUUGGAGGGUGUCUCUGGGUGCUUUGUGUGUUCCGUCUGGGAUGCAACCGUUAUUCUACUGACUUGACAGACGAGGAGGUCACCGAGGUUAAGUGUUCAUCACAACGACCCCCAGGUCGCCAGCAGAGGAUGAUAAAUAUGGUGAGACAGUGGUCUGGAAGACAGUGGAGAGAAAACAGAACUGAAGAUAACCGCGUCCCAUAGCUGGAAACAGAAAGAAUUCAACAACAGUAAGAACAAAAAGGCAGUGGCUCCCCAGAGGGCAUCGGAAUCACCUGGAGGCCUUAUUAAGACACAGAUUGCUGGGCCCCACCUCCAGAG
rnacentral:lncRNA from 1 species